AAAGAAAAGAAAGAAAAGGAAAGGAAAGGAAAGAAAAGAAAAAAAAGAAAAAGAAGAAGAAAAAGAAAGGAAAGCAAGCAGGCAAGCCCGGCAAAUGUCUGCUCUGUGGCUGAUGGGUACGUGGAGGCUGGAGGAACUGGGUGGCUCAGAAUAUUAACCUUGUAAAUUACUUCCAAAAUGGACUUGUGUUUCGGAAUAUGACAGAAAGAGCGCCAGAGAGCCACGAAGUUGGAAGUAGGCUGAGGGUCCCUCACUGAGGUGAGGGGUAUCGCUGCCGGGUUUGGUGGCCCAGGGGAGAGCAGCCACGCGCCCGGGGCCCAGGACUCCACAGUGGUUGCCAAACCUGCCAGGGCCCACCGGUGGUGGACGACCGUGGGUGUUUCAGCCUCACCGCUCGCCUCCUGCUGAGUUGUUUUCUCUCUUAUCAACCAAGACUCAUUUAACAAUAAUAAAACACGUUUCCAAGUUUGCGAGCCUUUCUUCACAGUGAAUCUUCUGGAGUGUACCCGGAUGUGAGACCAUCAUUGGGAAACUCAUCUUGGAGAAACAUCUCAUUCAAAUGAAUUGGAAUGGUAUGACUCUUCAAAUCCAUCACCGUGAGUUGAGCCUCGACGUAUAUGAUGACUCCGUUGGGUAUUCGUGCAGCAUGAAGUGUUUGUGCUGAGUGUUCACUUGUGGUCUCUUGGUCCCAAGUCCACCCUGCAGUGCUUGGCUGUCUGACGUUAGGGCUGAGACCCUGUAAGUUAGAUGCCCUCCCCUCUGGUCCAUUCUGGCAUCCCGAUGCAAGGUGACCUGUCACCAAGUAGAGCACCAGUGGGAGAUGGGGCAGGGGGCGGAUUUCCCUCCUGUUUCGAGUCCCUGUUUGCCUCCAUAUCCAGCAGCGCAAGCCGGCCCCUCAGCUUCUUUCGGUACUUCUAGAACCCGUUGUGUCACGCCCACCCUUCAGAGGUCUGAAGCGGCCUGUAGUAGCCUGCUCGGAAAUCUGAGCUCCAGCCAAGCUAACAAGAAACAUGGCCAACCAUUCUCUGAGUUCCUCGGUUUUGGUAUCAUUCUUCACUUUUGUGCUAGAGGUGGUUGCUGCCUCUUGUCAUUAUGAAUGCCCCAGUCUUUUAAUACCUGUGCAACCAAGCCCCUGUAUUAAAUCCCCUCAAUUUGAAAAGCCUAGUGUGGUUUCUGGUUUUCUGACUGGACUCUGACUAAUAUAGUACAAUUAUAACCAAGCAUAGGUUUCCUUAACGUUAGCAUAAUUAUGGGGCGCCUGGGUGGCUCAGUCGGUUAAG